rnacentral:rRNA from 1 species
UGGACGGGAUAAGUGCUGAAAGCAUCUAAGCAUGAAGCCCCCCUCAAGAUGAGAUUUCCCAACUUCGGUUAUAAGAUCCCUCAAAGAUGAUGAGGUUAAUAGGUUCGAGGUGGAAGCAUGGUGACAUGUGGAGCUGACGAAUACUAAUCGAUCGAAGACUUAAUCAAAA